rnacentral:RNase_P_RNA from 1 species
GUAUUUUGACAAACGCUGCAUUUUUAUAAUGUAGAGGAAAGUCCAUGCUCGCAAAAACUGUGAUGUUUUUAAUGAUUGUGCUUAGGGAAAAAAUAACCUAAGGUAGUGUAUGCUAACGGCAUCGAAAUAAUCUAAGUCUUUAUGAUAUGAUUAAAUUAGAUAUAAAGUGCCACAGAAACUAUGCUUUAAAGAAAUUUAAAGAUUGAAAAGAGGUAAACCCCACAAGCGAGAAACCCAAAAUUGGUAGGGGAGCUUUGAUGAAGGAAGGAUAACGGAUUCAAGGACUAUUUUAAUAGUAGAUAGAUGUUUGUCGCCUAUAACUAGGAACAGAACAUGGCUUAUAAAA